CCUCGACAACAGUUGAACCCAAUCCAGAUUUCUCUCUCCCCGUACAGUUCAAACUUCAGAUCUUGUUGUCUUCUAGAUCGGUUGCCUGCUCCAGAGCAGCCAACACAGCGGCCGCCGGAACCAAAAAGCUCUCUUGCGUUUUCAAUAAAACAAGUCCCUUGAUCAUCUCUUUCUCUCACUCUCGCAGCAAUCAGUUAGCAAGAGAGAGGUCAUGGCUAUGAAAUUAGAAAUAGGGUUUCCGUACUGGAGAUCCCUCCGUCGUAAUUUUAGCUUUCGAUCAGCUUAUUACUAUUUCGUCAAUACCUAUAUCUAUUCUCCUCUCUCUUCUCUCCUCCUUUAUCUCUCGAAUGGGGUCACGCAAAUGGAUCUCUUGUAGCAAAUAAGUUCAGGCUGGGACGAAAGAUCGGUCUCCCAAAUGGUACGAGCCUAGCACCAAGGAGAUGUAGUGAAGGAGCUCCUGGUUUUUACCACCAAGGGAGCACUUACAUGAAGAAUCGGCUAUGGUCAAGGCUACUUAGGUCGCAUCUUCAUGGGAGAGGGUUGAAUAGAAUCUGGUGCCCUCACUCAUUGAUGUUCUCUAGCAUUAUCUCUUUUAUGGAAUUCAGGAAGUCUCUAUGCUCUGCUAGACCAGCUUUUAUGUGUAUCCACCUGCUGGGUUGCUAAUGAGAUUACACGCUGAUAUCAGUAUGUAUUGCUCCCAUUUACCCCCAAUAGAUACUGAUUUGCAUCAGUGUGCAUUGGGGAACUUUGUAGUAGUGGUGGUUGUUCGUCAUAAUCUUUAAAGAGGCUCUAGAUGAAGUGAGCAAUACUGUGUGUCACCUUGUUGCAACAAAUUCGUGGCAUAUCUGAAACAUGCAAGAACAGCUUGAUCGAGAAGAAUUACUGUGCAAAAGCAAGGUUCAUGUGAAACCCAGAAUUGAGGAUGUUUGUCUGUUAUUCCAAGAGCUACCAUGAGUAUCUUUCCAUAUCUUCUAGAAAAUGUUGUUGUCCAUGACCUUACGCGUUGUACUUUUUCUCUCCAACCAUUUUGGAGAAUAAUUUGUCUCACAAUCGUACUUAAUUGACUGAUUAGUAUAAGUAAUUAACAAAAUCUGUUUUCUGGAAAAUAAAAUUCAGUG